AAAAAGAAAGAAAGGAAGGACAGUUGGCAUCUCUCCUAACAGGACGGGAACAACCUUUAGGCUUUCCUAUGAUCACGCUCCACGGUUAAGGCUGCCCACUUUUGUGGAUCUCUAACCCAAAAUUUUGC